rnacentral:tRNA from 1 species
GGAGGGUUAGCUCAGUUGGGAGAGCACUUGCCUUACAAGCAAGG